UUUUUACUGAGGCGAGCAAUAGUGGAAUAUAAAACCUUAAAAAAGUCCAAACUUUAUAUGGACGGUAUGGCUGAUGUGUACAUUUUUAAUUUGAUAUACGAAAUAAAUUUUCUAAAACCAGUGAAACAAAGCAAAAGAAAAAAACUUUCGUAAAGUGAAAUGAAUUAAAUCCUUCCAUCGUUGGGAAACACUUGACGAGACAGUGGUCACUGGUCAGGAGAAAUUUGCGUUUUUCUUCUGGUCGCGUCUUCUAGUCUUAUAGUCUGAACAAAGAGGCUGCAAUCGUAAUCGACGUUUGGCAAAACCUUUCCCCAAAGCCACUCAAUUUUGUUGAAUUGCUAGGACAAAUUAAAGAAUAAUUGGCAUUUGAAGAAACAACUAAUGGAAAGUUGCGGUUUGGAGUUUUUGUCUUGAAAACGAUAAUAUUCGCAACGAAACGAAAUAUUCGCAUCGCUAGCAAAAGCAACCGAGGUUGCAACCUUAAAAUUUGGUCUCUCUACCAGUUGAGAUUAUUGAUCACGUCUGUCUCCUGAUUAACAUAGAUUCAGGAUUCGCCGUAGUCCUAUUUAGAAGAGUAGCGGUUCUACAAGUUGAAGAUCUGCGAAAAUUUCCUCAAAGCUUCUACCGAAGCGGCAUCCAUGAAAUACCCGAGCGGAAACAGAAGAUCACAUAUAACGACGGUGGCUAAAGCCUGAAAUGCCGAAAGUUACGCACACAAUAACAAAUAUUGAAAACUUGGAUCAACUGUUUGAAAACAUUGAAUCCGGUUUAUCAGUAUAGAGUUACGUGGAAACAUUGGUUUUGAGUAAACUAAUGCAUUUGACCCGCAAAGGUGUUGAAAUUGAGGAACCUCUAAGCAAUUAUCUGGAAUGCGUCUUUCUGCUUUUGUUUCUUUACCACACAGGUCCUCUAGAAGUGGCAACAUAAUGUGAAACACAGUUCGCAAAAUUUAUGAAACGAAUUCUACGCGAGGGAAAGGCCUUUAAGUCAGGCAUAUUUC